CCCCUACUAUUUUGGCUAUUCAACCCGCAGUUCUCGGUGAGUUAAAGAAAAAACGGUUCGAGAUCUUUUUGGCUUGUAUCGAGCUGCGGCGCUCCCGAUCCGAUCGGGCGCAGGACGACGGCGGCGAGCACAUGAAGGGCGCGGGCGGGACGCUGCGCGAGCGAGAGGAGGAGCAGGAGCGGAGGCGCUGAGGCGGGGCCAUAUGCGCCGGACGCGCGCGCUCGCCCUCAGUCAACUCGGCCGCAGCGGCCCAGCUGCGAGAGCCCCAUUCAUCCUCCUCGUCCUGAAGGAGACAGCUGACAGAGAGAGAGCCGAGGAUAAGCAUCAACGCCUGCCUAACAGGCACCGCCAAGAGAUGGACGGCGGCCAGGAGGGGGUGCUCGAGACGGAGGAGCACGAGGCCGACAGAGAGGUUUCCGGAGGCAGCGAGCUCCAAGGCGGGGCGUUUCAGUUGUGUUCCAUGUGGCGACUCCCUUCCCUGGAGAAAACAGAGAUUAGACAGAGACGAAGAAGGAGAAGGGGAGAUUAGAGAGAGAAAGAGAGGGGCGGCACCUCUGGCUGCCCUGCUCGAGGAGGCGGCUCGGAAGCACAGAGGAGCUCCUCUCCAGGCGAUGUUGGAGGAGGCGGGGAGGCCGACUGCUGGGAGCCCAGCCAGCCCCAACGCGUGCUGGCCCGGCCACCAGGAGCCCAUACGAGCAGCAGUAGUAGCAGCGUCGCAAUCUGUCGACGAACGCGAAGCAGCCACCGGUCACGGGCGAGACGGCCUGGGAAAUCGAAAGAGAGAGAUGGGGUCAACGGAACGAACGCCAAAGGAAGAGGGGAUCAGGGGCGGCGAGGGAGAAGCUAACCGCGCGCACCCGUGCUUGAUUCUGGCGCCACGGUCCAGCAGAGAGUGGUGCUUGGUUCGUUGUGGAGGAAGAAGAGAGAGGUGAAUGCCGGGCGGUGGGCGUGUGUGUGGCUGCAGCACAGAGAGAGAGAGAUGAAGGAGAGCAGAGCCGCUGGAUGGAUAGAGAGAAGACAAAGGAGAAGCGGUGCUGCCAGAAAAGAAUGGCGAUGUGGAUAAGGUCCACAGAAGCUGCUCGGUGGGGAUUUUUGAUGUCUUUUUUUAAUGGGUGAACCGACGAGAAGCCACUGGAACUAUGCGUGCUCG
rnacentral:lncRNA from 1 species